UCGCUAAGUAUUUGUCUCUCCUACUUAGGGUGACCAAACCCUUAAUACAUUUAUACAAACAAAGCUGCUUUAAAAACGGAGAAGCAUCGAUGGAGGCGUUGGAGCUGGAGCUGGAAGAAGUGGAGUCCCAGAUCCGCGCGCUGGUGGUAAGACGGUCGCGGCUACGGGAACGGCUUCUA